rnacentral:rRNA from 1 species
ACUCCUACGGGAGGCAGCAGUGGGGAAUAUUGCACAAUGGGGGAAACCCUGAUGCAGCCAUGCCGCGUGUGUGAAGAAGGCCUUCGGGUUGUAAAGCACUUUCAGUAGGGAGGAAGGUAGUGUAGUUAACACCUGCAUUAUUUGUACGUUACCUACAGAAGAAGCACCGGCUAACUCCGUGCCAGCAGCCGCGGUAAGUACGGAGGGUGCGAGCGUUAAUCGGAAUUACUGGGCGUAAAGCGCAUGCAGGCGGCCUGUUAAGUCAGAUGUGAAAGCCCGGGGCUUAACCUCGGAAUUGCAUUUGAAACUGGCAGGCUAGAGUCUUGUAGAGGGGUUAGAAUUUCAGGUGUAGCGGUGAAAUGCGUAGAGAUCUGAAGGAAUACCGAGUGGCGAAGGCGGCCCCGUGGAC